AUUGAACGCUGGCGGCAUGCCUUACACAUGCAAGUCGAACGGCAGCACGGGUGCUUGCACCUGGUGGCGAGUGGCGAACGGGUGAGUAAUACAUCGGAACGUACCUUAUCGUGGGGGAUAACGCAGCGAAAGCUGUGCUAAUACCGCAUACGCCCUGAGGGGGAAAGCGGGGGAUCGCAAGACCUCGCGCGAUUAGAGCGGCCGAUGCCUGGUUAGCUUGUUGGUGGGGUAAAAGCCCACCAAGGCGACGAUCAGUAGCUGGUCUGAGAGGACGAUCAGCCACACUGGGACUGAGACACGGCCCAGACUCCUACGGGAGGCAGCAGUGGGGAAUUUUGGACAAUGGGGGCAACCCUGAUCCAGCAAUGCCGCGUGAGUGAAGAAGGCCUUCGGGUUGUAAAGCUCUUUUGUCAGGGAAGAAACACCGGCUCUAACACAGUCUGGGAAUGACGGUACCUGAAGAAUAAGCACCGGCUAACCACGUGCCAGCAGCCGCCGUAA
rnacentral:rRNA from 1 species